AAAGACAAGAAACAAGAUUGAUGGCAUAGUUGCAAUUUUCUUAUACAUUAUAUGAUGGGUCUGAUUGGUAACCAAAAGGUAUACAAGAUUUUUAGCUGUUAGAUUUAUCGGAAUAGUGCAAAGCUGUUAGAAGGAACUAUACAAAGAAAUUAUUAAAAAAAGGUGAGUAUAAAACUUUUAAUAACACUUUUGAUAAAGUUUUUGUGAUUGGUAACUUUCAAAGUUAUACAAAGCUAUACUAUUAUUAUUGUGGUUAUCAUUCAAACCCGAUAUCAUCUUGGAAAAAGUUAAAAUCUCUCUCCGCUAUACUUAACAAAAAUAAUUUUUUUGGGAAAAUUAUUUUAUCUUUUUGUCGUUCCUUCCAUAUUAAGCCCAACAAUAUUUAGAU
rnacentral:sRNA from 1 species